UACGUAGGGUGCGAGCGUUAAUCGGAAUUACUGGGCGUAAAGCGUGCGCAGGCGGUUCGUCGUGUCCGAUGUGAAAGCCCCGGGCUCAACCUGGGAAUGGCAUUGGAAACUGGCGGACUCGAGUGUGGCAGAGGGGGUGGAAUUCCGCGUGUAGCAGUGAAAUGCGUAGAGAUGCGGAGGAACACCGAUGGCGAAGGCAGCCCCCUGGGCUAACACUGACGCUCAGGCACGAAAGCGUGGGGAGCAAACAGG
rnacentral:rRNA from 1 species